UACGUAGGGGGCAAGCGUUGUCCGGAAUUAUUGGGCGUAAAGAGCGCGUAGGCGGUCCGGUAAGUCGGCUGUGAAAGUCAGGGGCUCAACCCUUGAAAGCCGGCCGAUACUGUCAGACUAGAGUCCGGAAGAGGCAAGUGGAAUUCCCGGUGUAGCGGUGAAAUGCGCAGAUAUCGGGAGGAACACCAGUGGCGAAGGCGGUUGCCUGGAGCUUUGCUGACGCUGAUGCGCGAAAGCGUGGGGAGCGAUCCGG
rnacentral:rRNA from 1 species